UACGGGGGGGGCAAGCGUUGUUCGGAAUUACUGGGCGUAAAGGGCUCGUAGGCGGCCAACUAAGUCAGACGUGAAAUCCCUCGGCUUAACCGGGGAACUGCGUCUGAUACUGGAUGGCUUGAGUUUGGGAGAGGGAUGCGGAAUUCCAGGUGUAGCGGUGAAAUGCGUAGAUAUCGGGAGGAACACCUGUGGCGAAGGCGGCUUUCUGGGCCUUACCUGACGCUGAGACGCGAAAGCGUGGGGAGCGAACCGG
rnacentral:rRNA from 1 species